rnacentral:rRNA from 1 species
CCUACGUGCGGUAGCAGUGGGGGAUAUUGCACAAUGGGGGGAACCCUGAUGCAGCGACGCCGCGUGGGUGAAGGAGUGCUUCGGCAUGUAAAGCCCUAUCGGCAGGGAAGAAACAAGACGGUACCUGACUAAGAAGCCCCGGCUAACUACGUGCCAGCAGCCGCGGUAAUACGUAGGGGGCGAGCGUUAUCCGGAUUCACUGGGUGUAAAGGGAGCGUAGACGGCCAUGCAAGCCAGGGGUGAAAGCCCGGGGCCCAACCCCGGGACUGCCCUUGGAACUGUGCGGCUAGAGUGCGGGAGGGGCAGGCGGAAUUCCUGGGGUAGCGGUGAAAGGCGUAGAUAUCAGGAGGAACACCGGCGGCGAAGGCGGCCUGCUGGACCGCGACUGACGUUGAGGCUCGAAAGCGUGGGGAGCGAACAGGAUUAGAUACCCCGGUAGUC